CGCAUCCAGCUAGACUCCAUUCAUAGUUUCCUUCCACAACAUGAUUUAAAGUGUUCAGGUACUGCAGCUCCAUUUGGCCAACACAUAAUCAGACUAACAUACCUUGAUUUUCACAUACUCACACACAAAAAUGGCUCUAAUACUGUAUAUGACCACACACAGCACUGUUGAGCCAUCCAAAAUCACCGCAGGGGAAAUUCUGUCUCAACAGCCCUAAUGGGAUUCAGGUUUGUCUCCACUUGUAGCAGCAAAGAGUCUGUAAAGGAACACCUCUUGAACAACCUUUCUCUCACAUACUUAUUAAACAUGAUUAUCCCUGGGUGAGAUCUUACUUUGUGGCACAGAAAGCACCUUGACUUUCACAUUAGCAUCAGGUACACACAGAUGUGAGUUGAUGUCUCUCUGAAGCUGCUCUCAGAUAAUGUCCCUUCCAAAGUGAUUAAUUGAUGAGAUAUAAAGUACCUUUAAGUCAUAAUCCAAGCGUUUAACAUUUAAGGCCACUGACCGUACUGUCAGAAGUAGUCAACCACACAAAACUGCCGGCGGCCCAUUGGAAAAAGAAGAUGCCAUUCUCUAGUUAUUAAUUAAGAAGAUGCGAGACGAAACCUUCAAACAGAUAAGAGGUUUCAAAACAGACUUUCAAAGACUCUGUGGAGAUAAAAGAACACCUCUGCAAAAUUAAUAAACAGGUUUCUGCUUUACAAAACGAGGUUGGAGACACAAAACGAUAUAUCCGGGAAACUGAAGAACACAAACAAGGCUUGGAAGCAAGAGAACAAACAACCAAUCAACCGAGCCUUGUCAGAUUAUUUACUUAGUUCUUGACAGAGAAGACAGACUAUGUGGAGAAUAAAACUUGACAAAACAAUGUGCAGAUGAAGGUGAAGGAGAGAAGUGGUGGAAAUUACAUGGUUGGAUUUCUCAGUGACAUCUUGUCCAAACUUCUGGGUAUCCCAGUUUAACAACUAAAUUGUUGUAUCCUGCUGGUCACUAAAGAAAAAAUCUACAAGAGAGGAUGCUACUUUAUGAUCUAGUGUGGUCCGUUUCUUGCCGUGAGACAUGUGACAGACUGUUCUGAAACAAGCAUGGAUGGAGAAAGACAUCGUCUACCAGAGGAAAAAUACUUAUUUUGACCAGGACAAAAUGAUGGAAAAUGUAUAUAUGUCUGAGAAGACAACUCACCUUAAAACAAAUCCAAUCAGACAUCAUCUAUCCAGCGAAGCUUAGAGUGUUUUGGAAGGAUGAAGGAUUUAUGUUGAUAUACAUUUCCCUCAAUGAAGGUGAACAAGCCCCGUAUGAAGUUGGAGUCAUCACAGAAAUUCAAUACUGGAACAAGCCCGCCUUCAUCUGACCACCGACACCUCGAGGACUGCAGGGUUUUCCAAGAAAAGGCAAGAGAACAAGACAACAGAUCUACUGCAAGAACUGAUGACUGUCACUGAAAGUAAACUCCCACAGAACUGAUUAAAUCAUUGGACUGCAGCGAAAUCAUUUCAGUGCUGAUAUGGGUGCAUUUAUGGGUGAGGUGCAAAGUAAUGUUUUUUAGUGCUGGAGGACCAAGCAAAGUGUUGUGAAGACGGUUUACGAACUUCACACUCACAACUUCAGAGCAUAUCUUGUUGAACUUGUCCUUGCACGAAGACAGGACCCUACCAUUGCCUACAAAGUGCAGAUGUCAUCACUCCAGCUCCCUCAGCCUGCUCUUCCUCAAAACACUGCAGCAGUCCCAAAACCAUCCAAAGAGGAAACAGCUGCAAAGUACCAGUCCUGAUUUUCAAAGUGAUGUAAUGAGAAGUGUAGCAAAGUACCUGAAGACAGAUAAAAAAUACUGCACAUUCAAUUAUAUUGAUAGUUUUUCUUAGCCAUGCAAAACCUGGAAUAGUCACUGAGUUUGAAAUGAGUGUUCUUCAAAAUGUCUUUUCAGGCAGUCCUGCCAGGCUGCAGAUAGAUCUAGUUACCUUUGAAAUAACACAUCUUGGCAAUGGAUAAAAC